CCUACGGGAGGCAGCAGUGAGGAAUAUUGGUCAAUGGCCGCAGGGCUGAACCAGCCAAGCCGCGUGAGGGAUGACGGCCCUAUGGAUUGUAAACCUCUUUUGUCAGGGAGCAAAGGCCGCCACGUGUGUCGUUUUGCGAGUACCUUACGAAAAAGCAUCGGCUAACUCCGUUCCAGCAGCCCCGGUAAUCCGGGGGAUGCGGUGUUAAUCCGGAUUGAUUGGGUUAAAGGGGUGCGCAGGGGGUAGUUCAAGUCAGUGGUAAAAUUGAGAGGCCCACCUUCUUCGAGCCGUUGAAACUGGUUGACUUGAGUGUGCGAGAGGUAGGCGGAAUGCGUGGUGUAGCGGUGAAAUGCAUAGAUAUCACGCAGAACUCCGAUUGCGAAGGCAGCAUACCGG
rnacentral:rRNA from 1 species